CUGACUCUCUUUUUGUUGGGCUAUAUUGGGCCAUUAGAUUUGGGUUUAGAAAAUUGGGUUUAGGGUCAUUGGGCUGGUAUUGGGCUUAGCGGGUUUUAGAUGUAAAUGGACAUUAUUGGACAUUUUAUUUAUAUAUAUAUAUAUAUUAUUUUUUACUUUUUAUUAUUAUAUAUUUUUUUAUAUUUUGGUUUUAAUACUUUGGCUCGGGCCGGGCAAAAAUGGACUCUUACAAGCUCC
rnacentral:lncRNA from 1 species